ACUUCUCUUUCAAAGAUGGACUGGGGAAAGACAUUAAGUUCGGAGCAGCCCAAGGCUGCGGAUCUAGCCUUUCUCCCUCCGGUCUCCAGACCCACGCAGGUUAAGGCAGCCAAGCAGAGACAGCGGAGCCCCGGUGCGUGGUUCAGGCCUGGUCAACAGGUAGGAGGGCCAGACUGGGGGCCAGGCACAGAGGAGGGCAGGCCCGCCCGCACCGGCGUCCAGGGUCCCAGGUUCCGGGUCCCGGGACUGGAGGAGGUCGCCGGCAGCCCGCCCUUCCAGAGGCUUGAGAUUGGGUGGACGAGACCUGAAGAUCCUCUCGGUCUGGACCCCGACUUUCGAUCUGCUUAGAGACCUAAGCCGCGAGCCUUUGCCCACACGGAGAAACGUACUAUCUAAUAUCUAACAACCCUGUACUGCAGUGUCUGGAGGUUGCGGGAAGGAGACAGUGUCUCCAUUUGGGAAAACUACUGAGGACUUCCGUAUAUCCUACUUCUUCUGGACUCCAUAAGUUACAGGACCGAAGGAAACUGAGAAAUAGAGAAAAGGUGCCGCUUGCCCCUUUAACUCCAGAAAAGGGUGGCUGCAGAUGGAGCAGCUUGGACUUUGUUUUUUACGUUGCGCGAAGCCCGCCGGCAGCGGCUUAUGCCAAUUGAUUUUCCCAGCUCCCAGCCCUGGAUGUCUAGCUAUCUCCAGGACAGUUUGUUUUUUUCUUUUUCUGUCUUUCUUUCUUUCCUUCAAUGUAUCAGAAGACCUGAAGCUCGCUGCCCGCGAGUUUCCUCCGAGUUCCCAGUUGCUGAGACAAAGGAAAACCCACUCCCUUGGAGGAGCAUGACCUUUUCCUGUAAUUCUUCCCACUGCUGUUGUUGAGCUCCUUGGACCAUGGCUCCUGGACACCAUCAUCAAGAAGACUUUAUGGAUGGGCUGUCCACCCACUGAGAGAAGAGGAGCAUCAGCUACAGUUUCUCUCUAGAUUGCCUUCUUCAUUUUGAGUAAUGACUGUCAGCAGGGUCAGAUUAAAGACAAAACAACUGGACAAUUGCUUGGAGGACUAAACUAUAAGGGCACUAACAUAUCAAUAGUAUGCUAACACAUCCAUGGAAAAUAUAUUUACCAGCUCUUCUCUCAGGGAGGAUUCUGUGUGGGGUUGGAAGUAAUGAUUUGUUAAAUUCCUUAGGGGUAGAAAGUAGGGCAUAAUCAGAAUAUAGAGGAAUAGGCUGUUUGACUUCAGGGUUUCUGUUUUUCUUACUAGGAUAUAUAAAACAGGGACUCUAGCUAGAUUGUUUAUGACCACAGAGGGUAGGCUGAGCGCUCUCAUGAUCUUCCUGCUUGGUUCUUGCCCAUACAGAGGUCAGCCUUUCCUCUAAUAAAGAUUGAACAAGUAGUGGUCUGAGGGAGACACCAACUCAUUACCCUACAUGUCUCUUCUCUGCACUCCAGGGCUUUGAUAAUAAAGACACUGGCAGACUAUCUAUCUUCCAUUUCUAUAAUGUGAGCCCUUAGGGAGUCUUCGUUCACUUGGGGGUGAGGGUCAUUGCUCACAGAGUAGUUCAAGUCAAAUGGAACUUGAACUCUUUGCCUAUGGGCCUGGUGGUCAGACUCUGUGUUGAGUUCAUUAGAUUAUUGGAGACACAAGGUAGAGCUGGAUGCUUCAAAAAUAUUUGGCUAAAGGAUGACAUUGCUGGUUAUUUGUAGAUAAAGCCAUGAUGGAACCUGCUUGGAAUCAUGAAAUAUGGAACUGGUGGUCAUGUUUAAAAAUACAACUAAUAGUUAAGUACCUACUGGACACUGUAGAGACUUAGGGGCUAGACAGACAUGGUUCCUGCCCCCAUGGAGCUUACACUGUAGCUUCCCCUUAGGUAUGAAGAACAGUGGCUACAACUAACAAAUGGCCACAAAGAUAUAAUUGAGCCAGUGUUCCAAUUAUUAGGGUAAUUCCUAUUUCCUUAAUCAUGCCUAUUGACCAUGUUCUAUAAGCCUGCAUUCUAUAAAUGGCCUAUGACCAUGGGCUGUUUCCCCCCAGCAAGUUGUACAAAGUUCUGUGGUACCAGGGAAAGGGCUUAAGGUUAGCAGGGCCUCUGGGGAAGGACAUAUGAAGUGACUUGGGUUAGGAAACAGGAAGGGAUAGGAUUCAAGAACAGCUAUUGCUUCUGUUCUAUAUAGGAAACUGCAGCGUGAAAAAUGCUGGGCUGGGAAUUUUGAGACCUGGGUUUUAGUUUGUGUUCUAAUACUAACAAGCUAUGUGACUGUGGUUAAGUCAUUUCACAUUCCAUUUGGAUGCCUCUUGAGUGACUCCAGGCCUCUCCAGCUCUAAAACAUUGAGAUCAGGCCCUACGCUACAGCUGGCCAGUGUGUAGUUCUUCUGUUUCUAUGCUGUUAGGUCAAAUAGAUCUUCAAUAGUUACUUGAUUGUUAUUACUUUUUUCUGAAGUGGGUGUUUUAUCAGUGUUUUAGGAUACAGUGAGUCUGCUUCUCCCCUUUGGAGUUAGGAAGGUUGUAGGAAUAUACACUGUAGAGCAUAUGGGAGCUUUAUCUCCUCCUUUUUCCCCCCCUACCUUUCUCCCUCUCCUUCCCUUCGUCACAUUUCUAUUGAGCAUAUGCCAUUGCCGUGUACCAGGUGUGUGCUAGGUUUGGAGAUACAAGGUAAACUUGAGACUUUCCCAGCCUCCAGGAGACAAAACCCUAAUUUCUUUCAUCUGCUGUCUUUCUCUUUGGAAAGAAUCAACGAUAUCCCAGGGGAAUGUGCCCAUGUCCCAGGGUAACCAACUACAGACAGAUGCCCCAUUCUACUCAAGCAACUUUUAGAGUGCCUUGAGAUACACAUCAGAUAAUUAUGCAGGGCCAGGCAUGGUGGUGCACACUUGUAAUCACAGCACUUUGGGAGGCCGAGGCAGCAGAUUGCUUGAGCCCAGGAAUUCAAGUGUAGCCUAGGGAACAUGGCAAAACCCCAGCUCUACAAAAAAAUACACAAAUUAGCUGCGUGUGGUGGCCUAUGACAGGAGGCUGAGAUGGGAGGAUUGCUUGAGCCUGUGAGGUCGAGGCUGCAGUGAGCCGAGAUCAUGCCAUUGCACUCCAGCCUGGGUGACAUAGGGAGACCCUGUCUUGAAAAAAAAAAAAAAAAAAAGAUAAUUAUUCAGCCCUAGAGUCAUUGUGAAAAGAUCUAUCUUCAGAUAUAAGGAAGAAACAAUCUUUUAUUUCUUAGGAUAAAUCUGUAGAAGGACCUCCAGACAGUGAAGGCCACUGACUACUUUACACUCUGUAAGCCAUCCCUCCCUGGUAGGAAGGACUAUUUCCAAUCUUACAGAGUACCUCUCAGCAAAUAGACGUUUUCACAUAUACUGUGAUUCAUACAUCCCUAUGGCUGGUGACCUCUUUAAAAAGGAAAGGAAAAAGCCUAAUCAAACAAAAAGAUUCUUUUUUUUACAAUAUUACAAUUGUAAUUACAAUAGUAAUUCUUACCCUAUUGUGAAUCCUAUAUAAGCAAAUUUGUAUCUUUGUUUUUUCCCACAUUAGCAGAUCUAUUUGAUGUAUAUCUCUGAGUGCAGAAAAUAUUUUAUGGAAAAAUCAAUAUAUGGAAUUUCAAAUUCAGAAUUGCUGAUACACACUAUUUGGUUUCAGAAUUUUAUCCUAGGAAAUAGUAUUAGAGAUUUCAAUUUCUGGCUUAAAUGGUAGAAUUAAUUACUCUUAACUCUUAAUUUUACUUCUGAGUUGAGGUCAAGGAACAGGCAGACACCUCCAGUUAACGUCUAUACCUCUCCAUGGCCAAGAGUUUUAAUUUUCUCGUCUUCAGUUUUGUAGAUGUACAUCAUUACUAAAUGGAUUGAUUAGUAUUUUAUCUCCUCUCCUUGUCCUUACUUUCCCUCUGGUAAAUAUGUUAUAAACAGUGUAAGGCUCCUAAGAUAGAGUAGCUGGUAGGACUUAGAAGAGAAACAAAGGGCACUGAUAACUCACAUAAAUGGAAAAUUGGCUCUGGAAUAACUGACAACAUAUUCAAGUAUUUUAGUGCAGUGUCAUUCUCAUUAAGAAGAAGAGAACCAGUAAAUCUAUGUGACUCUAAACAUUCUAAUGAAAAAAGGAAUAUUCUGCCAAUUAUCUCACAUUUCUAAAUAUCUGGAUAUUGGCCAUCAUAAAGACAAAACAUACAGAUGAUGGACUUGUCUUUCCACCUCUCAUUUGCAUGGUUUGGAGCAUUGUACCUCCAGCCAUUGACUCUAAGGCAAUUUAUAUUUGCUUCCUCUUCCCUCUUGAGAGAAAACGAAAAUCUUAUUUUUCCAAGCAAUUAAAACUCUUCUGCUUCAGCUAGGAUGAAAGAAUUAGGAGUUCUGUCUCUUUGUAUCUAAUUGCAUGUUUCAUCUUUCUUGUUUUAAUGAUUGACAGAAAACUAAUAAACUGAGACAUCUUUGAAUCCAGGUUGAAUGUA
rnacentral:antisense_RNA from 1 species